GGGUGACUGCGUACCUUUUGUAUAAUGGGUCAGCGACUUAUAUUUUGUAGCGAGGUUAACCGAAUAGGGGAGCCGAAGGGAAACCGAGUCUUAACUGGGCGACUAGUUGCAAGGUAUAGACCCGAAACCCGGUGAUCUAGCCAUGGGCAGGUUGAAGGUUGGGUAACACUAACUGGAGGACCGAACCGACUAAUGUUGAAAAAUUAGCGGAUGACUUGUGGCUGGGGGUGAAAGGCCAAUCAAACCGGGAGAUAGCUGGUUCUCCCCGAAAUCUAUUUAGGUAGAGCCUUGAGGUGACACCUUUGGGGGUAGAGCACUGUUUCGGCUAGGGGGCCAUCCCGGCUUACCAACCCGAUGCAAACUACGAAUACCAAAGAGUGAUACUCAGGAGACACACGGCGGGUGCUAACGUCCGUCGUGGAGAGGGAAACAACCCAGACCGCCAGCUAAGGUCCCCAAGUCUAUAUUAAGUGGGAAACGAAGUGGGAAGGCUUAGACAGCUAGGAUGUUGGCUUAGAAGCAGCCAUCAUUUAAAGAAAGCGUAAUAGCUCACUAGUCGAGUCGGCCUGCGCGGAAGAUGUAACGGGGCUGAAAUAUAGCACCGAAGCUGCGGCAUCAGGCGUAUCACUAAUACGCCUUACGAUUAACAAGCUAGAAUGGCGCGAAGCGACAUGAAAGGUUGUUCAAGCAACCCGAACGUUGAGUCGGGCAUCUUAGAGUAAGGAUGAUUAGUGAUACGCCUGUUGGGUAGGGGAGCGUUGUGUAAGCGGAAGAAGGUUCAUCGAGAGGUGGGCUGGACGUAUCACAAGUGCGAAUGCUGACAUAAGUAACGAUAAAACGGGUGAAAAACCCGUUCGCCGGAAGACCAAGGGUUCCUGUCCAACGUUAAUCGGGGCAGGGUGAGUCGGCUCCUAAGGCGAGGCUGAAAAGCGUAGUCGAUGGGAAACAGGUUAAUAUUCCUGUACUUGGUAAAGCUGCGAUGUGGGGACGGAGUAGGUUAGGUUAUCGCACUGUUGGAUAUGUGCGUUUAAGUUGGUAGGUGGGAAGUUUAGGCAAAUCCGGACUUCCUUAACACAGAGAGAUGAUGACGAGGCUCUACGGAGCUGAAGUAACUGAUACCACACUUCCAGGAAAAGCCACUAAGCGAAAGGCUUUACUAAACCGUACUGAAAACCGACACAGGUGGUCAGGUAGAGAAUACUCAGGCGCUUGAGAGAACUCGGGUGAAGGAACUAGGCAAAAUAGCACCGUAACUUCGGGAGAAGGUGCGCCGGCGUAGAUUGUAAGGGCUAGCCCCUGAAGGUUGAACCGGUCGAAGAUACCAGCUGGCUGCAACUGUUUAUUAAAAACACAGCACUCUGCAAACACGAAAGUGGAGGUAUAGGGUGUGAUGCCUGCCCGGUGCUGGAAGGUUAAUUGAUGGUGUAAUCGCAAGAGAAGCACCUGAUCGAAGCCCCAGUAAACGGCGGCCGUAACUAUAACGGUCCUAAGGUAGCGAAAUUCCUUGUCGGGUAAGUUCCGACCUGCACGAAUGGCAUAAUGAUGGCCAGGCUGUCUCCACCCGAGACUCAGUGAAAUUGAAAUCGCCGUGAAGAUGCGGUGUACCCGCGGCUAGACGGAAAGACCCCGUGAACCUUUACUAUAGCUUGACACUGAACAUUGAAUUUUGAUGUGUAGGAUAGGUGGGAGACUUAGAAGUAGUCACGCCAGUGAUUAUGGAGUCGACCUUGAAAUACCACCCUUUAACGUUUGAUGUUCUAACGAAGAUGACGAAACGUGGUCUCGGACAGUGUCUGGUGGGUAGUUUGACUGGGGCGGUCUCCUCCCAAAGCGUAACGGAGGAGCACGAAGGUUUGCUAAUCACGGUCGGACAUCGUGAGGUUAGUGCAAUGGUAUAAGCAAGCUUAACUGCGAGACAGACAAGUCGAGCAGGUACGAAAGUAGGUCAUAGUGAUCCGGUGGUUCUGAAUGGAAGGGCCAUCGCUCAACGGAUAAAAGGUACUCCGGGGAUAACAGGCUGAUACCGCCCAAGAGUUCAUAUCGACGGCGGUGUUUGGCACCUCGAUGUCGGCUCAUCACAUCCUGGGGCUGAAGUAGGUCCCAAGGGUAUGGCUGUUCGCCAUUUAAAGUGGUACGCGAGCUGGGUUUAGAACGUCGUGAGACAGUUCGGUCCCUAUCUGCCGUGGGCGUAGGAGAAUUGGUUGGGGCUGCUCCUAGUACGAGAGGACCGGAGUGGACGCACCACUGGUGUUCCGGUUGUGUCGCCAGACGCAUUGCCGGGUAGCUAAGUGCGGAAGAGAUAAGUGCUGAAAGCAUCUAAGCACGAAACUUGCCAAGAGAUGAGUUCUCCCAAUCUAAGAGAUAGUAAGGGUUGUUGUAGACUACGACGUAGAUAGGUCUGGUGUGUAAGUGUAGUGAUACAUUGAGCUAACAGAUACUAAUUGCCCGAGAGGCUUAACUAUACAACGCUCAAG
rnacentral:rRNA from 1 species